GUUCCCGUGCUUGUUAUCGUGAGCAUGCUUGCCUAUUUCUGUUUUCUCGAGCAACUACUGGUCGGUAAAAUGGGCAGUGGCGCUAUCGCGAUAUCCCUCCCUUUUUCUUGUGUACUUGGACUGCUCUCAUCCAUGACCUCAUCAACUAUGGUUAAGAGAAGAUUCGUCUGGGUAUACGCCUCAUUUCAGUUUGCUCUCGUCGUUCUCUUCGCACAUAUCUUUUACUCUGUGGUUGGCAUCCAAGCAGUUCUAUCUAUUCUUCUUGCAACUUUUACGGGGUUCGGUGUUG
rnacentral:misc_RNA from 1 species